AUUGAACGCUGGCGGCAGGCCUAACACAUGCAAGUCGAACGAGUGGCGGACGGGUGAGUAAUGUCUGGGAAACUGCCUGAUGGAGGGGGAUAACUACUGGAAACGGUAGCUAAUACCGCAUACCAUCAGAUGUGCCCAGAUGGGAUUAGCUAGUUGGUGGGGUAACGGCCCACCAAGGCGACGAUCCCUAGCUGGUCUGAGAGGAUGACCAGCCACACUGGGAGUGUGACACGGUCCAGGCUUCCUAGGGAGGGAGCAGGUGGGAAUAUUUCCACAUGGGGGUCAGCCUUAUUGCGCCCUGCCGGGGUUUAGAAAGAGGCCUUCGGGUUGUAAAGUACUUUCAGCGGGGAGGCGUUACCCGCAGAAGAAGCACCGGCUAACUCCGUGCCAGCAACCGCGGUAAUAC
rnacentral:rRNA from 1 species